rnacentral:tRNA from 1 species
GAAACAGUACUCGAUUGGUAGAGUAUCUCCCUUUUAAGGAGACAGUCCUGGUUCGAGCCCAGGUGUUUUCA